UACGUAGGGACCAAGCGUUGUUCGGAUUUACUGGGCGUAAAGGGUGCGUAGGCGGCUUUGUAAGUCAGUGGUGAAAUACUCCAGCUUAACUGGAGGGGUGCCAUUGAUACUGCGGAGCUUGAGUACAGAUGAGGUAGGCGGAAUUGACGGUGUAGCGGUGAAAUGCAUAGAUAUCGUGAGGAACACCAGAGGCGAAGGCGGUUUCCUGGACAGUUACUGACGCUCAGGCACGAAAGCAUGGGGAGCAAAAGGG
rnacentral:rRNA from 1 species